rnacentral:rRNA from 1 species
CCUACGGGAGGCAGCAGUGAGGAAUAUUGGUCAAUGGGCGAGAGCCUGAACCAGCCAAGUCGCGUGAGGGAGUACUGCCCUAUGGGUUGUAAACCUCUUUUGUCGGGGAGCAAAAGCCGGACGUGUCCGGCUGUGAGAGUACCCGAAGAAAAAGCAUCGGCUAACUCCGUACCAGCAGCCGCGGUAAUACGGAGGAUGCGAGCGUUAUCCGGAUUUAUUGGGUUUAAAGGGUGCGCAGGCGGAUUUUUAAGUCAGCGGUAAAAUCGUGGGGCUCAACCCCAUCCAGCCGUUGAAACUGGGGAUCUAGAGUGUGCGAGAGGUAUGCGGAAUGCGUGGUGUAGCGGUGAAAUGCAUAGAUAUCACGCAGAACCCCGAUUGCGAAGGCAGCAUACCGGUGCACAACUGACGCUCAGGCACGAAAGCGUGGGUAUCGAACAGGAUUAGAUACCCGUGUAGUC